rnacentral:rRNA from 1 species
AGAGAGAGACAUGCGCGCAUAUCAAUAAGCGGAGGAAAAGAAACUAACUAGGAUUCCCUCAGUAGCGGCGAGUGAAGCGGGAAGAGCUCAAAUUUGAAAUCUUCAAGGUUCUACCUUGACGAAUUGUAGUUUAAAGAAGUGUUUUCUGUUGGAGUUUUGGUAAAAGUUCUUUGGAAUAGGACAUCAUAGGAGGGUGAGAAUCCCGUAUUUGACCAUUAUUUCCAGCUUUGUGAUACACUUUCAAAGAGUCGGAUUGUUUGGGAAUGCAGUCCAAAAUGGGUGGUAAAUUUCAUCUAAAGCUAAAUACUUGGCGAGAGACCGAUAGCGAACAAGUACCGUGAGGGAAAGAUGAAAAGAACUUUGAAAAGAGAGUUAAACAGUACGUGAAAUUGUCAAAAGGGAAGCGUUUGACACCAGUGUUGUUUUCUCGAAAAUCAAUUAAAAAAGGCAGGAUUUUGUGUUGUAUUGACUUUAUCAGCUUUCUGCACUCUUUUCUUGUCCUUUUUAAUGCACUUUUCGUUUAACAAGUCAACAUCAAUUUCUUUUGUUGUAAAAGGGUCAUUGGAAGGUGGCUUUCUUUUCGGAGAAAGUGUUUAUAGCCUUUGGCCUCUGCAAUCGGAGAGAUUGAGGUCUGCAGCGUAGAUCCUUCGGGGUUAGAUACAGUUUGUGCUAAGUUAUAGCCUUUCAUAGACAACUUGUUGACUAUGAUCAGUCAUGUAGCUUACUCGCUUAUGCUAUUUUACCUACGCUUAGGAUGUUGAUGUGAUACUGCGAGC